GUGCCAGCAGCCGCGGUAAUACCGGCAGUCCGAGUGAUGGCCGAUCUUAUUGGGUCUAAAGCGUCCGUAGCUGGCUGAACAAGUCCGUUGGGAAAACUGUCCGCUUAACGGGCAGGCGUCCAGCGGAAACUGUUCAGCUUGGGACCGGAAGACCUGAGGGGUACGUCUGGGGUAGGAGUGAAAUCCUGUAAUCCUUGACGGACCGCCGGUGGCGAAAGCGCCUCAGGAGAACGGAUCCGACUGUGGGGGACGAAAGCUAGGGUCUCGAUCCGGAUUAGAUACCCGCUUCGUCC
rnacentral:rRNA from 1 species